AAAAAAAAAAAAAAAAAAAACUGAGAAAUAGAUCCUUCAAAAGGAAACCCAUCGCCUAUAGCCCCUUCUCCCUUUACAGUCAUCAUUCAGCCAUAGGACAAACCCACCACCGCAGCCGCAUAUCCACCAGCGACAUUCAGGCCACCAUCACGGCUCCGUUCUGAUCAUUUGCAACUGUUUGGGAGCUAAGGAUCCAAACAGGUCAAAUUUGAUCUUACUCACAACCCGCCAGAAUUUCACCUUGUCGGGCCAUCUGAUCCUUUACAACCGUUCUUCGACUGCUGAUCGUGCCAUAUCCGAUGUUGAAACUGCCAUCCGACUUCCAAGUUGCAAAAAUCCAUUGGGUCGAGUCAAAGAUCCAUCGGGUAAGAGAGGUGAGCUCACCAACAGCUUUAGUGAGCCCGCUUUACAUCAUCAGAAAUUUUCAGUGCUCUAAUUUGUUAAUGUCGAUGUGCUGGUUCCAUUUUUAUGUCUGUUUCCAGCAGAAACAACGUCUAAAAGCUGAAGUUUGAGCUUUCUUGAAGUGAGGUAUGUUUACUUGAUUAGAAUAUCAUGGAAACUUAUAUUAAGAGGCUAGAAGAGGAAAUCAAUUACUACAAAAA
rnacentral:misc_RNA from 1 species